rnacentral:lncRNA from 1 species
GUGUACAUACCUAAACGGUGGUUGUGUAUACUGUCUUUUUGUAACUCUUGCCUUUGUUCAAGUGCAUCUGGAAAGUUGUUCAUUUACACAGCAUUUUCUUGUCAUUCACACCUGAACUUAAAAACUUGCUUUUUUUUUAAAAAUUUCUGCCACAGCUACCUUAUUCUUGUGCUGUAUACUUUCAUUUUGUUUCAGAUUUGCCUUUCACAAACAGCAUUUCUUUUUUCAGAAUCAGAAUAUAUGUAUAAUGCUUUAUUCUUCUAUGUACAGUGUCUUGUUUUUCAGCUACAAAUCAUGCUCAGAAUAUGCCCUAGUUCUUGGUGUCACCAGAAAAUGUAACUAAUGUGAUCUUGCACUCUUUCUACAUCCUUCAAAUGACAAAAAGCUGUUUCUGCAGGGAGAGUCAGUGAAUAUCUUAUUUCAACCUGAUAUCCUACUGUUUAACAGUUAUUUUGCACUUAGAGUUCUUCGAGCAGUUUGUAGUUUGGGGCUUAAGUUUUUCUGAAAUAGCCUUUCAGUAAAGAUUUUGUGACUUCAGUGAGGGGGCAGAAUAAUUACAUGCUCUUUGCUUCUUUUUGUUAUUCCCUCCACUGGCUCCUCCUUAUUGUGUUCGGAUGAACUUACCCUCAGGUGUUCAAAACCAUCCCUAGCUUAGUCCCUGCAUCUCUGAUCUGUGUAGCCCUUGCUACAUGCCUCUGUGGCCUGCUGUAAGGCAAAAGACAAAGAUAAAGGAAAGGAGAAGCUAUCUAUGAUGCAGCAAUCCCAAGUUCUGUCACAUCCAUGAGAGUAAUGAGCUUGUGAAGGCUGCCUGUAUUUUUAUUUGGGAAUCGGUGUUGCAGCUGGGUGAUGUUUUUGAUACCAAAUGAGCCAGUAAGGCACCUUCCUUUCAGAGUCACUUUGAAGAAAAAAAUUAACCUUCAAAGAAAACCUUUCCUUUUGCAGGUUUACCAAUGAGGAACUUGUGUUGUUUAGUGGCUGCAGCUGUAUUACACUUCUGAUAUGAAGAAGUGGCUCUAGAACUGAAUCUAGAACCAGCUCUGGAAUGAACUCUGGGAUCUCUGGAGAGCCUUCCUUGAAGCAUGGCCCAGUUGUAGUACCACUCGCUGUGAGAAUCGUGAAGGUGUUUCAUACUUCAUAGCAUGAAACUUGGCAGAGAUGCUCUCAGCCAAAAAGCCCUGCAGGGGCUGGUAAUGGCAGAAAGCAGGUGGGAAAGAUGCCCUUGUUCCUUUCUGCCCACUUGGGUCUUCCUUGAACAUUUUGUCAUCACGUGAUGCUGGGCUGCUCUUGUUUCAUAUGUCAGAAACUGCUUUCAGCUAAGGUGGAAGAUACUUAAC